GGCGGGGUGGGUGAGCGGCUAAAACCACCUGGCUGUAAACCAGGCGCCCUGAGAUGGGCUACGCAGGUUCGAAUCCUGCCCCCGCCACCA
rnacentral:tRNA from 3 species